UCCCCACCCACUGAAGGAACGCAGCAGCUGCUCUGAGCUGAGCUGCUCUGCGUCGGCACAACUUUAACACCCUCUGAGUGAAGAAGUGGUGCUGCAGAGGUGAGAGGCGGUGGAUUAACUCAGUGCUGUUCCUUCCUGCUGCUCCUGGGGUGACUCAGCCCAUGCAGCAGCUCCAGCAGCGAGGAUGCCAAUGCAUGCAGUCCCCAUUUCCAGGGGCUAUCUGUGCCUCCAACUCCUGAGCCCAGGCUGAGCUGAUGCUGCGCAGAGCAUCACCCCAUGGCACCAAAGUGCUCAACAGCUUUACUGUGAGGUUGACACCUCUGAUCCCCAGCACUGAGCAUCACCCAGCAGCACUGCAUUCAGUGAACCUGUCCAGGUGCUCCUCACUCCAGCAUUGCUCUUACCCAACCUGCUCAAACACUGUCACCUCCCUCAGCACUGUGAUGCAACUGCACACCAUGUAAGCCAGUUGCGUCCAUUCCACAAAGGAAACUGCCCUGCACACGCACGAUGCUCGCUGUGUUUACCUGUGUUUCCUUCGCCAUGGCAGAGAUUUUGACGGUGCAGUUUCGUUCUGACUCACCACUGCUUACUGCUGUGGAAACACAUUGACUCUGCAGUACUACGAAGUAGUUGCAUGAAUGAAUAAAGCACCUUUCCUAAA